rnacentral:tRNA from 1 species
GGAGUUAUAGCUCAAUGGUAGAGCACUUGUCUUGCAAGUGUGAGGCACUGGGUUUGAUCUUAGCACCA